GGGUCUGUAGCUCAGUUGGUUAGAGCGUACGAUUCACAUUCGUAAGGUCAUAGGUUCAACUCCUAUCAGACCCA
rnacentral:tRNA from 1 species